rnacentral:lncRNA from 1 species
AGCAUACUUAGGGAUAAACAUCAGUACCUCUGGAAGCUUUACAGAGGCAAAACAUGAUCUAUAUAAAAGAGGACUAAAAGCUCUUUUUUAAUAUUUAUAAAAUAUUUAAAGGUCAUAAACCCAAAAUUAAAACUUUACUUCAUAUAUUUGACCACACAGUAAAACCAAUUUUAACUUAUGGAAGUGAAAUUUGGGGGGCUUUAGAUUCAAAAAAAUUAACUGAAAAAGGAGAUUGUUAUUUUGAAAAAUUAUGUAAAGAACUGCAAACAAAAUCAGUUCAUUCAAAAAUCUGUAAAUUUUCACUGAGAGUAGGAAAGAGAAGCACAAAUAUGGCAGUGAUAGGUGAGCUAGGG